GAGGACGGGAGGGAGGAAGAGAGAUAAUACCUUCUGAAUACAUGAUGAAUGUAUUGGUUGGGCUUAAACUGACUUGGGGGCGAGCGGUGCACAGACACAGGGGGAGUGCAUGUGUCAUCAAGCUGGCCAUCGCCAAUUCUCCCUUACUGCCACCUGAAGUCUGUCAAUUGUUCUCCUGAAGAGCAUCGCACAAAUAACAGAGGAUACAUAGCCUUUCUCUAAUACUAAGAGGUGUGAGUUUGAGGAGGCGAGAGGAUGCUCAACAACAUGACAACAGACUGCGAGGAGGAAGAGGGGAGCCCCAACAAUCAGGGUGAUAGGAACCCUAAAGAGAGCAGCCCUUUCAUCAACAGUACUGCCACCAGUGAUGUGGAGAAGAGUCAGCAGUAUGACGGCAAGAAUAUGGCUCUGUUUGAAGAGGAGAUGGACACCAGUCCAAUGGUGUCCUCCUUGCUCAGCAGUCUAGCCAACUACUCCAACUUGCCAACAGGCAGCAAAGAGCAUGAGGAGGCUGAGAAUAACGAGGAGGGUGCACGUCCAUCUAAAAAACCUAUCCAGGCACCACAACUUGGAACUCUGAUGGGUGUUUACUUGCCAUGUAUUCAAAAUAUUUUUGGUGUGAUCCUCUUCCUGCGAAUGACCUGGAUGGUUGGCAUUGGAGGCGUGCUCGGUUCCUUCAUAAUUGUCUUCAUGUGUUGCUCCACAACCAUGCUCACAGCUAUUUCUAUGAGUGCCAUCGCAACAAACGGAGUAGUUCCGGCUGGAGGUUCCUACUACAUGAUCUCUCGCUCUCUUGGGCCUGAGUUUGGUGGCGCUGUUGGGAUUUGCUUUUACUUGGGCACCACUUUUGCUGGUGCCAUGUACAUCCUGGGGUGCAUUGAAAUCCUGCUGAUUUAUAUUGUUCCUCAGGCAGCCAUCUUCAAGAUCGAGGGCUUGGAAGGGCUGGAGGCAGAGGUCGCCCUUCUAAAUAAUAUGCGGGUGUACGGCACCAUUGUUCUGAGCUUCAUGGCUCUGGUGGUGUUUGUUGGGGUGAAAUAUGUCAACAAGCUGGCACUGGUCUUUCUCGCCUGUGUCAUCCUCUCCAUUCUAGCUGUCUAUGCGGGAGUCAUUAAAACCGCUAUUGACUCACCUGUCUUCCCGGUUUGCCUCUUGGGAAAUCGCACUCUUGUCUCCAAAGGCUAUGACGUCUGCGCAAAGGUCGUUGAAAUAGACAACGACACAGUAACCACCAAACUAUGGCGCUCGUUCUGUGAUUCUGAGUACCUCAACGCGACCUGUGAUGAAUACUUCAUCAACAACGAUGUCACUGAGAUACAGGGCAUUCCUGGGGUUACGAGUGGGAUCCUGGCAGAAAACCUGUUUGGCAAUUAUCUGGAAAAGGGGGUAAUUGUGGAGAAGAGAGGACUUGCAUCACAAGUAGAUCCAGACACUUCUGCUACCAGCACCAACCGAUUUGUGCUUGCUGACAUUACCAGCUUCUUCACACUGCUAGUGGGGAUAUACUUCCCAUCCGUCACAGGUAUCAUGGCAGGUUCAAACCGAUCUGGAGACCUGCGUGAUGCUCAGAAGUCCAUCCCUAUUGGCACCAUUGCAGCCAUCACCACCACAUCUAUUGUGUAUAUGUCCUGUGUGGUGCUUUUUGGUGCCUGUAUAGAGGGUGUUGUAUUAAGAGACAAGUUUGGUGAAGGUGUCAAUGGUAAUUUGGUGAUUGGGACCCUGGCAUGGCCCUCUCCAUGGGUCAUUGUAGUUGGCUCAUUCUUUUCCACCUGUGGAGCAGGACUUCAAAGUCUGACUGGAGCUCCACGUCUCCUACAAGCUAUUUCUAGGGAUGGAAUCAUACCAUUUCUUCGAGUGUUUGGACAUGGUAAAGCCAAUGGAGAGCCUACCUGGGCCCUUCUGCUCACGGCUGGAAUUUGUGAAAUUGGCAUCAUUAUCGCCUCUUUGGAUGCAGUGGCACCAAUCCUUUCCAUGUUCUUCUUGAUGUGCUAUAUGUUUGUUAACCUUGCCUGUGCUUUGCAAACUUUACUGAGGACACCAAACUGGAGGCCUCGCUUUAAGUUCUACCAUUGGGCUCUAUCAUUCCUGGGUAUGAGUUUGUGCCUCUCACUUAUGUUCAUCUGUUCCUGGUAUUAUGCCAUUGUUGCCAUGGGAAUCGCCACAUGCAUCUAUAAGUACAUUGAAUUCUGUGGAGCUGAGAAGGAGUGGGGUGAUGGAAUACGCGGCAUCUCUCUCAGCGCGGCUCGAUUUGCCCUCAUGAGGAUAGAGGAGGGGCCACCACACACAAAGAACUGGAGGCCUCAGAUUCUGGUUCUGGUCAGUAUGGAUGGGGAGCAGAACGUAGAACAGCCUCGUCUGCUUUCUCUAACCAAUCAGAUGAAAGCAGGGAAGGGCCUUACCAUUGUUGGCACCUCCGUUCAAGGAAAGUUUCUGGACAAUUACACCGAAGCCCAAAGAGCAGACCAGUCUUUGAGAAAAUUGAUGGAGACAGAGAAGGUUAAGGGAUUCUCCCAAGUGGUCAUAUCCUCCAAUUUGAGAGACGGGACAUCCCACUUGAUCCAGGUUGGAGGACUGGGAGGUUUGAAACACAACACUGUGAUGGUCAGCUGGCCACGUAACUGGAAACAGCCUGAGUACCACCAACAGUUUAGAGACUUUAUUGAAGUUGUAAGAGAGACUACAGUGGCCAGUUUGGCUCUGUUGGUUCCUAAGAACAUCUCUAGCUAUCCAUCCAAUGGAGAGCGCUUCACAGAAGGACACAUAGAUGUGUGGUGGGUUGUCCACGAUGGAGGCAUGCUGAUGCUACUGCCCUUCCUGCUGCGUCAGCAUAAGGUGUGGAGGAAAUGCAAGAUGCGCAUUUUUACUGUGGCUCAGAUGGACGACAAUAGUAUCCAAAUGAAAAAGGAUGUCAUUACGUUCCUUUAUCACCUGCGCAUUGAUGCCGAGGUGGAAGUGGUGGAGAUGUAUGACAGUGACAUAUCAGCCUACACCUAUGAAAAGACACUAGUAAUGGAACAGCGCUCACAGAUUCUCAAGCAAAUGCAUUUGACCAAGAAUGAGAUGGAGCGAGAGAUCCAGAGCAUAACAGAUUCCUCCCGCGGGUCCAUCCGGCGUAAAAAAACCUCUGCUCCACGCUCCCAGCCCAGUAUCGAGGAAGGAGGCAGAAUGACUGAACAACCAGAAGAAGAGGUCCAGCUUAUUCACAGUAAGAACGCCUCCUCACCUGCUAGCCCCACCAGCCUCACAGCCCCUGCAGGGGGCGGAGCCACCUGGACAGACAGCAAGGGAGCAGACAAGGGGAAGAACAUGGAUGGAGGAAAAGACCUCUUCAGCAUGAAGCCGUUUACUUCAAAGACAAAUGCAGCUUCCUGUGUGAGCACAGCAUUUAUGCAAUUUACACGCAAUUAUUUCCCUUGUCACAUGCUGCUGCAGGGAGUGGGAAAACUUGAACCAGAUAGAUGUGAGGCGCAUGCACACUGCCUUGCGGCUCAAUGAGGUCAUCACAAAGAAGUCCAAGGAGGCGAAGCUUGUCCUGCUCAACAUGCCAGGUCCCCCAAAAAAUCGUGUGGGAGAAGAAAACUACAUGGAGUUCCUUGAGGUGCUCACAGAGGGCCUCAAUCGGGUUCUCCUGGUCCGGGGAGGUGGUCGUGAGGUCAUUACCAUCUACUCCUGAACGUCCUGAAAUCUGAUGUUUUACUGUGAGGUUCUUCCUAGCUGCAAAACCACUUUUAAACUUCCUUUCAACUGUUCCAGUUAUGUUAUGGUUUUUUUUGUCUUUUUCUGAUACAUGUUGCUGAUUCUACCCAAUAUUUAUUCAUCUUUUGUGUUGUUUGUUUUAUGUCUUUAAUGGUUUUUAUCAAAACACGCUUAUUAGCUGAAUGAUGAUGGUGCAGUGAACGUGGUGUCAUGUUAGAUGAAAGUGUAUUGUUUAUUGAGUUUGUCAAUUAUAAAUACUACAUUCCUAACCUCAUAGAGUGGUGAAUAAUCAUACACACACAAAAUUGCUGGGUUAUAUUUCUACCCAAAUGCUGGAUUCAGCCUUUUGGGUCAUAUUUAUGGGUUAUUUCUAAAGAGUUGGGUAGUUUUUUGACCCAACCAGUAACCCAGCUGGUCGUUUUUUUGUUUUGACACACCCAUUAAAUAUAU